CCCCUAGAUGUUCUGGGCCGCACGCGCGCUACACUGAACAGUUCAACAAGUCUUAACCUUGGCCGAUAGGUCUGGGUAAUCUUUGAAAGCUGUUCGUGAUUGGGAUAGACCUUUGCAAUUAUGGGUCUUCAACGAGGAAUUCCUAGUAAACGCAAGUCAUCAGCUUGCAUUGAUUACGUCCCUGCCCUUUGUACACACCGCCCGUCGCACCUACCGAUUGAAUGGUCCGGUGAAAUCUCGGGACGGCGGCUUGGUCGCUUGCGUCCGACUGCUGAAACUUGAUUAAACCAUAUCAUUUAGAGGAAGGUGAAGUCGUAACA
rnacentral:rRNA from 1 species